CUCCCUCCCCUCAACAUAGCGCCGCGACUCGUGCCCACCAUGUCGCCGCACCGCCGCUGUGAACGGAUCCGUGCAUCCCGUACACCGGCCUUGGCUUCCUCCCCCCUUCCCUCAACCUAGCUCCACCACUCGCGCCCACCUCCGUCCGCAGGUGGCGCAGGGGAGGAGCCGGCCAUCCUCAGGGUGGCGCUGGGCUCCGGCAAGCUGCGCAUCGAGGGGUCGCUGGGCUCCGCCGCUCCCGCCCCCGUGCGCUCGCCGACACGGUCAGUAGUUCCACUCGGAGAAAGGAACGUUUCCCCCCUUCCUGUCUCACCAGAUCCAUUUCCCCGCUGUUGUUUCGCCCGUGGCUUUCACUUUCACUCGAUUUAGAUUCCAUUUCCGUUCGUUCGUUCCUGUUUCCCUUGCUCGUUCGUUCGAUUGGAGCUUGCCCCUGCCUGGAUCUGGCCUAGCCGAGCCCGGUUGUUCUGAAUCCCGAUUCGGUUCGGCUCCCUUGCUCUGUCGUCGCUUCCGAGGCGUGCUCGGAUCUCGUUAGAGUAGAGGGCCUCGCGGCUCGCUUCGAGUGGUGCAUCAACUUCAGCCUAGAUGGACGAUACCUUGCCACUGCUGGAGAGGACCACGUGAUCCAUGUGUGGGAGGUGUCCAAGGGAGACCGAAAGGGCGAGUUACUCGGGGAAGCUUCGGUGGCAAAGGAGAAUGGUGGUGGUUGCAGUCCAUUUCUCGCGAUUGUUGGGAAUGAUUCACUGGAGAUGGCUGCAUUGUCGUUCACCUACACUGAAGGGGGCUAUGUGGACAAGAAGAGAAGGCCGAGGAAGCAGAACAAUCACAAGUCUGUAGGGUCCGAUCAUCUGGUUGUUCCUAAGUGUGUGUUUGGUUUCACAGACAAGCCAGUCUGCUCACUUCUGGGGCAUGCUGCCGAUGUUCUUGAUCUGUCAUGGUCCAAAUCUCAGAGAAGAAGCUUCAGUACAAAAGUCAGAUAGAUUUAAGAAUUAGGAAAAAGAAGUCAGGCCAGAAGAAGAUAACUGGCUUCCAGUUUGCUCCUGGAAGCUCCUCGGAAGUUCUGAUUACUUCUGCGGAUUCGAGAAUACGAGUUGUUAACGGCGAUGAAUUUGUCCACCGCCGCCGCAAAGGAAGGAAAGAGAGCUAGAAGAAGGAGAAGCACAAAAGUCACCCUCCAAGAUUGUUGCUGAUAGUCUCAGCCAGAUCAGUCGAUCAUCCACCUUCCUUCCAAACAUUGGUGUCUGUUUGAAUGCUUUGUAUGUUUGAACCUCUGUUGUGGAAGAACUAGUGUGCUGGAAUUGUGUAUGACUUGUGAUGAGAAUGUUGUGUAUGAUGGCUUUUCUGUGUAUUAUGAUUCUGUGAGCUAUCAUGAGAGCUCAGUGUGUCGUCA